rfam:Cavia porcellus supercont2_9 genomic scaffold, whole genome shotgun sequence.
GGGGAUUUAGCUCAGCGGCAUAAGCGCCUGCCUUGCAAGCAGGUGGUCGUGAGUUCGAUCCCCG